CUACGGGAUGCACCAGUGGGGAAUAUUGCACAAUGGGCGCAAGCCUGAUGCAGCCAUGCCGCGUGUAUGAAGAAGGCCUUCGGGCUGUAAAGUACAUUCAGCGGGGAGGAAGGGAGUAAAGUUAAUACCUUUGCUCAUUGACGUUACCCGCAGAAGAAGCACCGGCUAACUCCGUGCCAGCAGCCGCGGUAAUACGGAGGGUGCAAGCGUUAAUCGGAAUUACUGGGCGUAAAGCGCACGCAGGCGGUUUGUUAAGUCAGAUGUGAAAUCCCCGGGCUCAACCUGGGAACUGCAUCUGAUACUGGCAAGCUUGAGUCUCGUAGAGGGGGGUAGAAUUCCAGGUGUAGCGGUGAAAUGCGUAGAGAUCUGGAGGAAUACCGGUGGCGAAGGCGGCCCCCUGGACGAAGACUGACGCUCAGGUGCGAAAGCGUGGGGAGCAAACAGGAUUAGAUACCCGUGUAGUC
rnacentral:rRNA from 1 species